AGCGAACGCUGGCGGCAGGCCUAACACAUGCAAGUCGAACGAAGUCUUCGGACUUAGUGGCGGACGGGUGAGUAACACGUGGGAACGUACCUUUUGGUUCGGAACAACUCAGGGAAACUUGAGCUAAUACCGGAUGAGCCCUUAGGGGGAAAGAUCUAUCGCCAUUGGAGCGGCCCGCGUCUGAUUAGCUAGUUGGUGAGGUAAAGGCUCACCAAGGCGACGAUCAGUAGCUGGUCUGAGAGGAUGAUCAGCCACAUUGGGACUGAGACACGGCCCAAACUCCUACGGGAGGCAGCAGUGGUGAAUCUUGCGCAAUGGGCGAAAGCCUGACGCAGCCAUGCCGCGUGAAUGAUGAAGGUCUUAGGAUUGUAAAAUUCUUUCACCGGGGACGAUAAUGACGGUACCCGGAGAAGAAGCCCCGGCUAACUUCGUGCCAGCCGCCGCGGUAAAAC
rnacentral:rRNA from 1 species